GGGGCUGUAGCGAAGUUUGGUUAUCGCGCUGGCCUGUCAAGCCAGAGAUCGCGGGUUCGAGUCCCGUCAGCCCCGCCA
rnacentral:tRNA from 1 species